rnacentral:rRNA from 1 species
UACGGAAGGUCCGGGCGUUAUCCGGAUUUAUUGGGUUUAAAGGGAGCGUAGGCCGGCAUUUAAGCGUGUUGUGAAAUGUAGUGGCUCAACCACUGAAUUGCAGCGCGAACUGGAUGUCUUGAGUGCGCGGAAGGUAGGCGGAAUUUGUGGUGUAGCGGUGAAAUGCAUAGAUAUCACGAAGAACCCCGAUUGCGAAGGCAGCUUGCCGUAGCGUAACUGACGCUAAAGCUCGAAGGUGCGGGUAUCAAACAGG